UACAGAGGUCUCAAGCGUUGUUCGGAUUCAUUGGGCGUAAAGGGUGCGUAGGCGGCGCGGUAAGUCGGGUGUGAAAUCUCGGAGCUUAACUCCGAAACUGCAUUCGAUACUGCCGUGCUUGAGGACUGGAGAGGAGACUGGAAUUUACGGUGUAGCAGUGAAAUGCGUAGAUAUCGUAAGGAAGACCAGUGGCGAAGGCGAAUCUCUGGACAGUUACUGACAC
rnacentral:rRNA from 1 species